AUUGAACGCUGGCGGCAUGCCUUACACAUGCAAGUCGAACGGCAGCACGGACUUCGGUCUGGUGGCGAGUGGCGAACGGGUGAGUAAUGCAUCGGAACGUACCCGGUAGUGGGGGAUAACUACCCGAAAGGGUGGCUAAUACCGCAUAUACUGUGCGCAGGAAAGCAGGGGACCUUCGGGCCUUGUGCUACCGGAGCGGCCGAUGUCAGAUUAGGUAGUUGGUGGGGUAACGGCCUACCAAGCCUGCGAUCUGUAGCGGGUCUGAGAGGAUGAUCCGCCACACUGGGACUGAGACACGGCCCAGCCUCCUACGGGAGGCAGCAGUGGGGGAUUUUGGACAAUGGGCGAAAGCCUGGUCCAGCCAUGCCGCGUGAGUGAAGAAGGCCUUCGGGUUGUAAAGCUCUUUCGGACGGAAAGAAAUCGCUCAGGCUAAUACCCUGCGCGGAUGACGGUACCGUCAUAAGAAGCACCGGCUAACUACGUGCCAGCAGCCGCCGUAAAAC
rnacentral:rRNA from 1 species